CCUACGGGAGGCAGCAGUGGGGAAUCUUGCGCAAUGGGCGAAAGCCUGACGCAGCCAUGCCGCGUGAAUGAUGAAGGUCUUAGGAUUGUAAAAUUCUUUCACCGGGGACGAUAAUGACGGUACCCGGAGAAGAAGCCCCGGCUAACUUCGUGCCAGCAGCCGCGGUAAUACGAAGGGGGCUAGCGUUGCUCGGAAUUACUGGGCGUAAAGGGAGCGUAGGCGGAUAGUUUAGUCAGAGGUGAAAGCCCAGGGCUCAACCUUGGAAUUGCCUUUGAUACUGGCUAUCUUGAGUGUGGGAGAGGUAUGUGGAACUCCGAGUGUAGAGGUGAAAUUCGUAGAUAUUCGGAAGAACACCAGUGGCGAAGGCGACAUACUGGCCCAUUACUGACGCUGAGGCUCGAAAGCGUGGGGAGCAAACAGGAUUAGAUACCCUGGUAGUCCACGCUGUAAACGAUGAGUGCUAGUUGUCGGCAGCAUGCUGUCGGUGACGCNGCUACGCAUAAGCACUCCGCCGUCGGGAGGUACGGUCGCGAGAAGUUAAACGUACGAAAGAAGUUAGUACGNGUUGAGAGNGCGACGGACGACGACGAGGGAGGAGG
rnacentral:rRNA from 1 species